CACUUGCAUAUCACUGCAACAGCAUCACCAGUAAGAGCUGUAUGCCUCUAGUGGAGGUGGUUUUCUUUUUGCAAUGAAACUUCUGAGUUUCACUGCAAAAAGUCAUUGGCAAGUGUAGACACUCCCAUGGUUUUUGCACAAAAAGUGACUUUUUCCUCUUUAAAUGGCAAGUGUAGACAUGCCCUAAGAGUUAUCUAGCUGCAUGCC